GGUACCGUGGAGCUUUGUGGGCUUUGCCUGCUAUCUCUUACCCAUGUCUUUUGAGUACUUACGUUUCCUCGGCGGGUCCGCCCGCCGAUUGGACAAAAUUAAACCCUUUGCAGUUGCAAUCAGCGUCUGAAAAACAUAAUAGUUACAACUUUCAACAACGGAUCUCUUGGUUCUGGCAUCGAUGAAGAACGCAGCGAAAUGCGAUAAGUAGUGUGAAUUGCAGAAUUCAGUGAAUCAUCGAAUCUUUGAACGCACAUUGCGCCCCUUGGUAUUCCAUGGGGCAUGCCUGUUCGAGCGUCAUUUGUACCUUCAAGCUCUGCUUGGUGUUGGGUGUUUGUCUCGCCUUUGCGUGUAGACUCGCCUCAAAACAAUUGGCAGCCGGCGUAUUGAUUUCGGAGCGCAGUACAUCUCGCGCUUUGCACUCAUAACGACGACGUCCAAAAAGUACAUUUUUACACUCUUGACCUCGGAUCAGGUAGGGAUACCCGCUGAACUUAAGCAUAUCAAUAAGCGGAGGAAAAAUCGAAACCGCCGACGGUACGAAGUUUCGGAAGGCUGAUGCUGUCAUUCGAGCGAUUCGGGAAUACUAGCGCAGGAUCUCCUACUGAAGAA
rnacentral:rRNA from 1 species